rnacentral:rRNA from 1 species
UACGUAGGGGGCAAGCGUUGUCCGGAAUCAUUGGGCGUAAAGCGCGUGUAGGCGGCUUGGUCAGUCUGCUCUGAAAGCCCGGGGCUCAACCCUGGGAGGCGGGUGGAUACUGCCGAGCUCGAGUCCGGAAGAGGCGAGUGGAAUUCCUGGUGUAGCGGUGAAAUGCGCAGAUAUCAGGAGGAACACCAAUGGCGAAGGCAGCUCGCUGGGACGGUACUGACGCUGAGACGCGAAAGCGUGGGGAGCGAACAGG